GAUGAACGCUGGCGGCGUGCCUAAUACAUGCAAGUCGAGCGAACAGACGAGGAGCUUGCUCCUCUGACGUUAGCGGCGGACGGGUGAGUAACACGUGGAUAACCUACCUAUAAGGCUGGGAUAACUUCGGGAAACCGGAGCUAAUACCGGAUAAUAUAUUGAACCGCAUGGUUCAAUAGUGAAAGACGGUUUUGCUGUCACUUAUAGAUGGAUCCGCGCCGCAUUAGCUAGUUGGUAAGGUAACGGCUUACCAAGGCGACGAUGCGUAGCCGACCUGAUAGGGUGAUCAGCCACACUGGAUCUGAGACACGGUCCAGACUCCUAAGGGAGGCAGCAGUAGGGAAUCUUCCGCAAUGGGCGAAAGCCUGACGGAGCAACGCCGCGUGAGUGAUGAAGGUCUUCGGAUCGUAAAACUCUGUUAUUCGGGAGGAACAAAUGUGUAAGUAACUAUGCACGUCUUGACGGUACCUAAUCAGAAAGCCACGGCUAACUACGUG
rnacentral:rRNA from 1 species